rnacentral:rRNA from 1 species
AGUGAACGCUGGCGGUAGGCCUAACACAUGCAAGUCGAACGGCAGCACAGUAAUAGCUUGCUCUUACGGGUGGCGAGUGGCGGACGGGUGAGGAAUACAUCGCAAUCUACUUUUUCGUGGGGGAUAACGUAGGGAAACUUACGCUAAUACCGCAUACGACCUACGGGUGAAAGCAUGGGAUCUUCGGACCUUGCGCGAUCGAAUGAGCCGAUGUCGGAUUAGCUAGUUGGCGGGGUAAAGGCCCACCAAGGCGACGAUCCGUAGCUGGUCUGAGAGGAUGAUCAGCCACACUGGAACUGAGACACGGUCCAGACUCCUACGGGAGGCAGCAGUGGGGAAUAUUGGACAAUGGGCGCAAGCCUGAUCCAGCCAUGCCGCGUGGGUGAAGAAGGCCUUCGGGUUGUAAAGCCCUUUUGUUGGGAAAGAAAAGCAGCAGGUUAAUACCCCGCUGUUCUGACGGUACCCAAAGAAUAAGCACCGGCUAACUUCGUG